UCUGACUCGUGUAAUGAGCUACUGAUGUGACACACCUGUGAGACACCAAGUGGCACAAAGAUGGAAAGUUGAGCUGAAAAACACUGAGGGCACAACUAAGCAGAAGGAAGGCAAUAUUUUCAAAUCUUCCGCAGCUGAGCUGUAUAACAAUGUAUGUGCUCGAGAGCGGAGAAAGAAGAUUUAAAUGUACUGUGCUACUCAAGAGAAACAUGAUUGCGCGAGCUGCUAUGGAAUGUGCUGGAGCCUUUGAUUGAGGAAGAAAGAGCAGCCAGUCUCAGGCUCCUGGUGGUGGCGUCCAGCUUCUCCUCCUGGAAGACAACAGGACACAGUAACUGACGGAGCUGAAGAUCAUUACCAUUACAGAUGUCUUGGCAGGACGUCUGUGUGCAGAGAGCCAGUAUUAUAUCCAGCGUAGAAGCGGUUUGCUGAUUCUGAUCAAGACGGAACUCUUGCAAGAACAUUCCAUCCUUUUCCCUUAAACAAACCCCGAGUGGGCGGCAGCUAUUAAGCUAAUGCGAUCGCCACUUAUCACUCAACACGGGAGUCAUUUGGCAAACCAACGGGGUAAUCUGGCAGAUUAAAAGCAUUUAAAAAGUGACUGUAUGGCUGUUUAGGGGACGUUGCAAACUGCUGAUGGCAAUCAGCUGUCAACAAUGAUUUCUUGAUGUCUCCCUUGACUGCUUAUAGCACAGAAGAUGACUAGAAAUUAACAGAGACCGGUACAAUAACGGGUUUUGUUGAAGUGAACAUUUGUGCCAUUGCUUGAGCUUGUCCCACUCUGUCCAUCCAUGAUGCAUUACCAGCAUGUGAAAUUAUUCAUUUAUUCAUACAAGUUGCAAAUUAGAUGCAGUGUACACAUUGGCACUGGUGUGGGGGCGAGCUAGCUUCAUAAAUGACUCUCAAAGUCAGACUAUCCUUAUCCAAACGGCUGCUGUUUGAACAAAGCACUGCAAUUAGCAACUGAAAUAGAAAAGGUGUGGGUUGUUAUUGGGAGUGCAGGCUCUUGUAAGGCAUUAAAAAGCUAGUACAGUAUGGCA